AAAAUCCCCCUUACACAACUUGGGAAAUCACCUUCCACAUCAAAACGUUUUAAAUAUAUGUGUCUCCAAGUAAAUUUGCCCGCACGAUCUUAAUUAUGUUAUUGAAUUUAGAUAUGAGAUUUUCUAAGUUGGAUGUGUAGCUGUUGACAGCUUUGGACAUUUAGCUACUGCUGCUUCUGCUUGAAGACAAGUAAACACGAUAGUUGGAAGGAGAGGAGAUAUAUGUGCACACAAUCAGAAUGUUUAGAGCUUGUGCAACAGAAGAUGGUCACACAGAUCUAGCAAUUUGGUAACUUUUUGUUAGAACAGAUUAGUCUUUGUUGUAUGUAUAAUAAAGCAACUUCAAACUAAAUUUUUUCCCAAUUCCUAUUCCAUAUGGUCUAAAGAAAAACUUCUAGACACAUCCAGGAAAUGCGAGAGAAUUUAAUGGUUUCAAUAUAUAAGAGGAAAUUGGAUCUCUUUUUCGUGGGUAUAUAUAGGACAAAUACUUAAUGUUGACUCUGAUAUUUCAGGGACAUGAUGUUUACAACCAUGGAGUAAUAAUUGAAUGAGAACUAUUUAAUCUCCACCUCCUUCCACCUUCUUUUUUUUUUUUUUAAACAAAACUUUGAAGUAUCUCUAGACGAUGAAAAAAAGAAGCUAUCCAGAGAAGAUGAGUAAUUGAGUAUUUUUUUUUUUGGUUAAAAGGGGGGCAAUUCAUUAACAGCUUAGCCAAGGUCAACACGAGUAUCAGUGGGUAGAGCUACUGCUCCACUCGAAGUAUUGGGGGGUGGGGGGUUAGAUGAGUUAGCAUGAGCCACAUUCUGGCCAUGUAGGUCCAAAAUAGAAGGAUUAAUUAGCCUAGCAAAAACUUUUCCUUCCUUGUCCGCUUCUACGAAAGGUACUGCAGAAGCCGGUGGGCUUGACAAAAUAAUUGGCACGCCAAGUUGCAUGAGUUUGCUGCCUUCCUUAGCCAACCUGUCCGCGACUCUAUUUUGUUCCCUAAAGGUAUGGUUGAUUCUUGUUGCCUCGAGUACCUGCAGGAGGGACCUGCUCUCAAAAAUCAGGUUAGUAUAAAGUUCGUGGCCACGGGUAAUAGCGCUGACAAGCUCCUUUGAGUCAGUACAAAUGAUGAGAGGUUUGAUACACAUUGUACUAGCAAUCCUCAGUCCUCUAAGCAGUGCCUUGAUCUCAGCAUGCAGGGGGGUCGAAUGAGAGGUGCAUUCCAUGUAUCCAACAACCUACUCCCUUUGUGGUCUCUAAUAACAUGUUUCCAGUCAACAGGAUUCAUUUUAUUGUUAAAAAGGUUGUCAUUUCUAGUGAGCCAAAUGGUCCAUAAUAGUUGGGGUAGCAGAUGGUCCCAAGUAAUAUGCACAUUAUACUGGACAUUAUGUAAGUGUUUCCAGGCCUUAAGGGCCUGGUUGACAGUAAAGUAGUUUCCUAUGGAGAUGUGAUGCAUUUGGCUUGAUUGAUUAUGUUGUUCCAGCAGUGGAGGCAUUGGUGCAAGUCAAGAAGAUAUGGUCAAUAUCCUCACACGAAUGUCUGCACAAAGAGCAUGAGGAGUUAUUGGUUAUGCCAAGUCUGUGCAAGUAGUAUUUGGUCUGUAGCCUGCCAUGGGCAAGUAGCAAAAUGAAAGUCUUGAUCUUAUUGGGAGCUGGCAACUUCCAGAUCCAAGGGAAAUCAAAGGGAGGCUGGGCAUUCCCUUUUUCAGCAAUGGAGGUGUAGACACUAUUAGUAGUGAAUCUUCCAUUAGGGGUUGUACUCCAGUACAUAAUGUCCUCUUUGGUGGGGUUGGAGUGAGCUAGAGUGUCCUCCAUGUAUUGGAGGAUAGCCGGAGGGAGUUCGAAGGAUAUGCUGGAGAGAUUCCAGCCUCCAUCAGUUAGCAAGGUGCCAACAGUGAUGUUAUCCCCAUUAUGAGGAAGAGGGCCUUCUAUGAGUUCUCUUAAGGGUGGUUUAUGAGGGAUCCAUCUAUCCAAGAAGAGCUUGGCCUUAUCACCCUUGUUCAUAUGCUAUCCAAGACUUUUGGUGCAUUGGUUCCAUCCUUGUUGAAUGUUUCUCCAGGUGCUAGACACCACUCUAUUAGCCGAGUGACCCCUGGGGGGUCUCUGAUAUUUAGAGGUGAGGAUUUUCCCCCAUAGGGAGGUAGGAUUUUUGACUAACCUCCAAGCCAAGCUUGCAUGGAGUGCCCUGUUUCUGAUCUCAGUUUUGUGAAAACCAAGUCCCUCUUUGGUCUUAGGCUUGGUGAUAGUAUCCCAACUGAGUAAGUGCAAUUUCUUUUUCUCAUCCUCAGUUCCCUAGAUAAAAUCUCUUUGCAUUUUAUCCAUGGAACUAGUGACUUUCCUAGGGAUUUUUAUGUAUUGCAUGAGGUAGGUGCGCAUGCUGCUAAGGGUAGCCUUAGCCAGAAUAGUCCUACCAGUCAUGUUGAGUUGAGCAGUUUGGUUUUCCAACCAAAAAGUUUGUUAGCCAUGCAGUCAAUAAUAGAUUGGAAAUCAGCAUUAGUGGGGGCUUUGUGGAAGAUAGGGAAGCCCAAGUAGUUGCCAAACUCAGGUUUCCUAUCUAUGCCCAGAAUGGUAGAGCAAGUGGUAGCAUUGUGGUUGGUGGUGUUAGAAGAUAAGAGGACUCUAGACUUAGCUUUAUUUAUUUUCUGUCCAGAGAGAGAGCUGAAUUGGUCUAGGGUAGACAGAAUGAUGUUGCAGUUGGCUAGCUCUAGCAAAUAGGGUGAGGUCAUCUGCAAAAAAUAGAUGGGAGAUUUUUGGACCAUCUAUAGUGAUGGAGAUAGGGGUCCAGUCCUUUUUUGUGACAUGAAGGUCUAUGGUUCUAGCUAGUCUCUCUAUGCAAAUGAUAAAGAGGUAGGGGGAAAUGGGGUCGCCUUGUCUGAACCCCCUGGUAGGGGUGAAGUGGGUAGCAGGGCUCCCAUUGACAAGGAUGGAGAGAGAGUUAGUGGUGACACAGGACAUGGUGAGUCUAGUGAUCUUGUUAGGGAAAUUGAAGAAGUGGAGAGAGUCAUGAAUGAACGACCACUCUAGCCUAUCAAAGGCUUUUUCAAGAUCAAUUUUGAGGAUCAUAUUAUGGUGUUUGCCACGCAUUUUCCUAAAAUAUGAGAUGUAUUCCUGAACAAUGAUGGCAUUGUCUGCAACUGUUCUGUUGGCUAGGAAACUGGCCUGGGAGGGGCCAAUGAUGGUCCCCAGGAUAGGCUUGAUUCUAUUGACAAUAAUCUUAGUGAUGAGCUUAUAGGAAGUGUUGCAAAGGCUAAUGGGCCUGAAGUCAAUCAUUGAAGAUGCAUCGGGGCAUUUAGGGAUAAGGCAGAUAAGGGUUUUGUUUAUCUCUUCCGGGAUAGUGUAGUCCUGGAAGACCUUGUGACAAAAGGCUGCUGAUUUAUCACCUACAAUGUCCCAAUAUUUCUGAUAGAAGAGGGGGUGGAGGCCAUCAGGCCCAGGAGCUUUGAGAGGUUUAAAGCUCUUGAGAGCAAUGGUGAUCUCAGAGUCUCUAAGAGGGUGUUCAAGGUUCUUCUUUUGAGCUGAGGUAAGGAUGCGGGUAGUCUCUCCAGUUUGGUUCCUGUGGAGGCCAAUGGAGGUAUGGUCAGAGGUAUAGAGCUUGUGGUAGAAGGUGGAUAUGUGAUUCGUAAUACCAUCUUUAUCAGGGAUGAUGCUACCUACCUCAUCCUUAAGAAAAUGGAUCUUUUUCCUCUUCCUUCUUACCAUGGUUGAAGUGUGGAAGAAUUUGGUGUUAGCAUCACCACAUGUGAGCCAGUUAAUAUGGGAUCUGACCAUCCAAAAGUCCUCCUCUGACUGUAAGAGCCUGUUGUAAUCGGAGAAAAGGUCGUUUUCCAGGUCAUGGAGGUAUGGGCUGGUGUGGUAAUGAGCAGACUUUUGGAUGCCAUCUAGCCUAGCUAAAAUCCUUUUAAUUUUGUGAAAGAUGUUUCCAAAUGUGUCUCUACUCCAGAUGGAGGCCUCCUGCCGGAAGAGUUGGAUAGAAUGGGUAAGGGAGGUGUGUUCAUGAAAGGAUUGUCUAAUGAUAUUUUGAAGUGUAUGGUGCGAGCACCACAUGGGCUCAAAUCUAAAAGGCUUAUUGGGGGAGGUAGGGGAGGGAUUGGUAAGAGUGAGGAGCAUAGGGCAGUUGUCUGACCUUGUUCGAGGCAGGUGUGUGACAGAUGCCUCCGGGAAUUGAUUUAUCCUCGAGGUAUUAGCAACACACCUAUCAAGUCUCUCAAGGAUAAGGUUCCUCCUAUGCUUAUACCUCUUAUUGUUCCAGGUGUAUUUGCAACCUUUAAACCCUAGAUCUAUCAUCCCACAGUUAUCAAGACACUCUUUAAAAAAAGAGGAUCUAUUAUUGUUAAUACUUAGGCCACCAAGUUUUUUUUUGGCCAAGAGAACUUCAUUGAAGUCUCCUCCCAUUAGCCAUGGGCCUGAAUGCGUCUGGGCCAUGAGCUUAAGCUCUUCCUAGAGGCCUUGCCUAAUAAGGAAGUUAGGGCUAGCGUAGAUGGCAGAGAAAAGCCAAGAGGAGGGGUUUGGGAGAUGGGUUACCUUGAGAAUGACGUGAAUGCCCUGGGCUGUGACCGUAAAGUUGUCAAGCUGGAUGCGAUCUGGGUGCCACAUGAGGACGAUUCCAGUGAGACCAACAACAGGAGAUUGAACAUGGGCUUCAAAGCCCAUAGUAGUAGUGAGGUGCUUGUGCUCCGACAUCUUAGUCUCGAGAAGGACAAGCAUAGCAGGGCGGUGAAGCUUGAGCAUUGCGUCGCACUGACGCCUGAAGUUAGAACUGUUGGCUCUUUUAGUGUUCCAAAUCAUCACAUUCAUUGGGGUGGUGAGUGGGGGGGGCGGUAUGUAUGACUGGGUCCUUCCCCUUGUCCAGUUGGGGGUGGUCCAGAACUAUGAUGAUUGGUUUUAGUAGCAUUGCUGGGGGGGGGGGGGGGGGGGGGGUCCUCAGAGAUAGCGAGAAUAGCUUCUUCUCCAGAGGGAGAUACACCAUAAUAGCUGAGCUAAAUGGCUCGUUGAAUUCUUUCGUUAGUGGCUUGUCUAGGGCUAAGAUGUCUAGAGUUGGCUCCCCGAACAUUGCCAGAAAGUUUUCUAGCUCCUCGUUGCUCUGUCUGAGAGAGUCCAGGAGAGUUGAGCUUGUGCUUCCUGGGCCUUCUGCCCCUGAUGUUGGGGGCACUGGGGCAUCUGACUCUAGAGGUUUGGGGAUGAAAGUAAGUGCCUGGGAGGNNNNNNNNNNNNNNNNNNNNNNNNNNNNNNNNNNNNNNNNNNNNNNNNNNNNNNNNNNNNNNNNNUCUGGUGGAGUCAGGUUCCCGGCUUUGGAAAAAAAAGUUUUGAGCAUUGUUUGCUGCCAUAGUUGGUUCCCCAUUUCCAUCACCGCUUGGUCCAGGGCUUUCUUGGUUAUUUGGGCUAGGUAUGCCGGGUCCUGGAGUAUUAGAGUGAUGUUCUUCUCUCUCACCUUUGCCUGAAAUUGCAGAUGGACUCCUUGAAGUGCAAGUUCCAUCCAAGAGGUCGAAGUUGUGUUUGGCGCAGGUGGUGUUGAGAUGAAGAUUGAGGGCGUCGUGCUGCUUUCCAAGUUCGGGUCCAUUGGGAGAGGUUUGGAAAAGGCAAGUAGUAGAUUUGGAAAAGGUGUGAGUAGCUUCCUCCGACCAUUCUUUCAAGGUGGCAUUAGUAGUAGUAAUAUUAGGGUAGUUAAUUGAAGUGACCUCAUCGGUCACUUCAAAUGUUUUGCUCUCAUUAUUGCUUAGGGCAAUGGCGAAGGGAUUGCUUAGGGGUUUUCCAAUAACUGUAGAAACGGAUGGAGUUUUCAAUGUGAAGGUAGGGGCAGGUCUGUGAGGAGGGGUGGCAUAGAGGCCCCAUCGCAUUUAAUCAACGCGUCAGUUCCCAGUGGAAUAAAUUUAUUGAAGGUAAUAAAUUCAGAGGGUAUAUUGGUUGGGGCAUUCUCAUUAGGGUGCAUGUGUGGCACCGGAGUGGGCCUAUUGUUGGGGCCUUCUUUUUGGGCUUAUUUUGAGGGGCCCUGCCAUCAUGAUGGGGAGUUGGGCCACAAUCCAAGAUUUGAUUUGGGCCACUCAGGUUUUGGGCUGAAGCAGGGUCAGUGAACAUACCUGUGGUUUUGUCAUAGACCCUUACCUGUGUUUGGGCCUGGGCCUUAGUGUUGCUGACCCGUUCUGGGCUUCUCUUCAAGGGCGUCCUCCUUUUUGGAAAGGAGACGACCCGCCAUUGGCCAUCCGUAGGAAGCUGUAUAGUUUCACUGGUGGAUGGGGUGCCGGUGCAGAUUGGUGUCGUGGUGGUAGGGCAUUCCCCGUGAGUAUGUCCCAACAUGCCGUAGUUGGUACACAAGAUCUUCUCCCCUUCGUAAAUCACCAUUUGUCUAUGAGUGCCAAUGGUAAUGUGGGAUUUAAGUGAGUGCUCUAAUGGUACCUGUACACAAAUGCGUGCAUAGCGUCCACGCAGCGCAGUGGAGGUGCAGGUGUCGAUCUUGAGUAAGGCACCAAGUUUCCUUCCGAUCUUCUCGAGAAUCUGCUGGUCGUAGAACUCGGUUGGUAGUUGUGGUAGACGUGCCCAAAUUGCAGUGUGGGUGAGGCUCGCUUCCUGGGGGACGAAAUUGGGCUCCCAUUUCCGAAUGGUAAGGAAGUUUCCUGUGAUGAACCAUGACCCUUCAUUCAGGACUCGUUCCAUGCUUUUAAUUAGGGAGAAUUUGGCAAUGAAGUAGUCAUUCCCCAGAUCAAUGAGGAUUAAGUUCUCACCCAGUUUCCACAGGUCAGUGAGUUUAUUUCUAAGGUAGGCAUGUGACAAUCGUUUCUUGUAGAGUUUAAUGAUUACUGAUAGACUCUAUGGUUGAUAGAUCCUUUGUUUUUCUUGGUCGGUUAGUUCGAUUGCAUCUUCAUCGUUCUCUUCCUUUUCCAAUGGGAGCCCGUCAUAGAUGUUGUAGGAACGGUUGAUUUCUUUUUCCUUAUUGAGAAAGACGUCCUUGAAGGAGGAGUAGGCUGGGCUUUCAAUUUCCAUGCUGGAUUCUCGAGGGUCGGGAGGUUCUGGUGGGAUCGUGGUAGUUAUCUGCGGUGUGUUAGGUAUACUCAUGGGGUUGGUUUAGUAAUUGAGUAUUAUUAAAACAGAUAUAUCGCUGUUUGAUUCAGUCGGCAGACUCGACACCAGUGGAAAUGUUGCCCACCCGCCUAUAAUUGACUAAUUAUCAAUGUCCAUUAUUUUCAAUUCUUUUGUAACUUGGAGUUGGUGUGGUGAAGUGCUGUUCUCAAUCUUUUUGCUCUAACAGCAGAAAGAACUACGAGUAAUAUUCAUUAUAAAAUUCCCUUUGUAGGUAGAAGAGGUAGUGCAUGUUACACAUCUUAUUGGAGAGGGAUGAAUGAAAUGGAAACUUGUUUCUGUUGUUUGUUUGAUAAGAAUAUAUCAUCAAGACUUAAAAGGAAUGUUUUAUAAAGUGGUGGUAAGAUGAGGCAUGUUAGUGGAGUGUUGGCCGAUCACGAAUUACAUGUUCAGAAAAUAAAAGUAGCGAAAUGAGGAUGUUGAGAUACAUGUGUGGAAAUACUAGGAGAGAGAAGAUCAAAAAUGAAGUUUUGCGACAUAAGGUGGGAGUAGCUUUCGUGGUGGACAAAAUGGGGAGGCGAUGUUGAGAUGAUUUGAACACAUAAAGGGAAGAUGCACAUAUUGCUAGUGAAGAGGUGUGAGAGGUUGGUUGUAGUCGGCCGGCAUAAAGAAGAGUAGGGGUAAGCUGAAGAAGUUUUGAAGCGAGGUGAUUAGACAGGACAUGAUACAUGCAGAUUACUGAGGACGUGUAUGUCCUUAGAUAGGAAGAUGUGGACAUGAAAGAUUAGGGUAGAAGGUUAGUAGGUAGCUGACUAUUGUCGAAUUCCCUUGUCAAUAUGGCAUUAUUACUCUCCUAACUAUUAUAUUUUUCAAUUUUAGUAUCACCUGUUGUUUUGAUUGCUUCAGUUAUCGUAUUAUGUGUUCCCCUGGUGCUUUAUUUCAUUGUUUUAUAGUAUCCCAUAAAUUUCUUAAAUAAAUAUAAAAUUUGUACAAAAAUUAAUGAAUUCAACCAAACUCGUAAUCUUUACUCUAGCUCCACCCUCGCUAGGAAGGAGAUAAAGGUUUGCCACUCAUUAGAAAUGACAAACAGCCACAAUUAUUGGAAUCCAGAACCAAAGUUUGCAACAUGACUUCUUGGGGAUAACCAAAACAACUACAGAAAAGAGUUAAAGGAACCUCAAAAACCACGUUAGUUGCUUUGGUUCUUGUCUGACUCAUUCACUUCACCAUUUUGCUGCGGAGUGACAGAUGUAGUCAUCAAAUCAAAACCCAACUUUUGCUUUGUGAUUUCAUCAAGAACCUCAAUCAUUUCUUUUGAAAGAUGGUUCUUGAAAUCGCCCAUUUUGCCUCGCCGGAAAUAUAUGUUGUUUGCAAUAGUAGGACUAAACGCUCCAGAGUAUGUGCCCUCUUUAUUCACCUCCAAAUUGCUCAGUUUCUCAAAGCUGCAGAGCUCUAUUAUUCUCUCUACAAUGCCUUCACUUUCUUCCUCCAACGAAAAUGGCUGCCCCAAGAACUCUGCUAUUCUCUUUGCAUUAAAGAUUGGAUCUUUCUUCAAAUCCUCAUACUUCAAGAAAAGAACCCUCUCUGGAAAUUCUAAGCUGGCUUUAUAAUAUCCCAUCACAUGAUCCCAAAAUGGACCAAAAGGGGAAUACCCUAUAGUAAAUUGGUCAAAUGCUUCUGGUAGAGAAUUGAAAGGCACGUCUUUGGGUCUUAAUUUCUGCAUAAAGUACCAGAAAGAAACCAACACAUCUUUUGCAUUGCGAAACACAAACUAUUUUGCAUUUGGAGUCAUUACCUGUUAUAGACUUUGGUAAAGCAUUGAAGGCAAGAUGUGAUUGUAUGAGACAAGUGUUUGGUGUUGGAUUUGUUGGGUGCUUAAAUGCAUAGGCCUCUAGAUAGGGUACUAAUUCAUGUGGGUUUGAAAAGAGCAAAGGAUGCGUGCUAAAAUUGUCGUAUUGUGAUCUGUUUGUAAUGGCAAAAAGAAGGGCCUUGAGCCAUGUGGUGCCAGAUUUUGGGUGACUGGCUAGUAAGACACUGUUUGGUUUUGGCUCAAAGUGUUGCUGCUGAAGUACUAGCAGACCUUCUAGACUUUUUGUCCAAUACCAAAUACCUUUGUAUUGGUGAAUCUGAUCACUUAGCCAACCUCUUUCACUUGGAAGCUCAGAGAGUAUUUUAUCAACGGAUUCUUGGUGAUUUUUAUGGCUUUGUUCUUUGGUGGCAAGUGGCAACAUUUGUGAGUAAGGGGGAGUUCUGGGUAGAGAAGAAGUUUGCCAUUUGAGUUGAUGCUCAAAAGUAGCCGAAACUCUUGCUGCAUUUAUAAGACUUUUGAGCUUCGUUAGGUAGUUGGUCAGGAGCUAAGUUAUUUAUUGUUUAGCAGUUAGUUGAGAAACUUAGCUGUUCAUUGUUAAUUACUUACUUAUUUGUUGUUAAUUCCGGUAGUUAUCAGUAGAAUUAGUUAGUAAGCUAAGCCAAGUUUUGGUCUCUAUAUACUAUUACAUUGAUUUUUUUCUUUUUUUUUGGUUAGACUAUUACAUUUACAUAUACUAUUACAUUGCUUUACUGUCGAUGUUUACAUAUCUAAAAUGACAAUCUGAAAAAAGUUUUCACAACUUUUUCAUCUUUUCUCCUUUUCCUUUCUGCAUGUCUGGAUCAAGCGCAGAGGUGCUCUGAAUUAGUGAAGUUUACAU
rnacentral:lncRNA from 1 species